AAUCAAAGGCCAAAACCGGACCUUUCUCUUUCUCUCCAUGUUGCAUUUUGGCUCCUUUGCUUUUAAGUACUGGCACUAAGCUAGCUAGUCAGUGUUGUGUUCGGUUCUGGGUUACUCUGUUUUGGAAGAGGUGAUUUUCCUCUCCUGCUCUGUUUCAAGAUUUGGAAAAAACAGAGUGAUUGCAAUUUUUGACAAAAAUGUAUGAAGAGAGUGGACUAUUGUUUCCCUAUAUGCAGAAUUUCUUUCAAGAUAUUCAACAACUUGAAGAGUAUUGCAAGUAUCAAAAGACCAAUGUUCCAAUGAGCAACCUACUUCAGACCACUAUAUCAGAAUAUGAUCUGGGAGGCGAAGGGGAUCUGUUCAAAGCUCCCAAACCAAUCAUUGAAGAGCCACUUGUGGGCAUUGAUCCCAUGGCGUCAGCCAUUUCAAUGAUCUCCUGUGGGGAAGAAGUCAUUACUUCACAAGGACUAAAGGUGACAGAUAUUGAAUCAAUUCAAAAUGAGCAGCUUCUGAAUGAGGUUUUCUAUGAAUGCAAGAAGGACCUCCUGGAAAAAGAAGCAAUGGAUACACAAUCACUUGCAGAGCUUCUGGAUAUCAAACUUCCUGUUGUCAGGACUGAUGAUGAAAACCCCAUUAAAGAAAAUAAAUUACCUCCUGAUGCUGCACUAUCAAAAAGUGUCAGCUCGGGAUGUUUGAGUUCAAUUGAGUGGGUCCAUGGUGCUGCAGUGAAGCCAAGUUUUCUGGAUUUUCCUGGAAUUGAUUUUGAAAAUGCUUAUGGGAUGCGGAGAGCAUUCAGCGAAGGAGACAUAAAGGAUGGGGCUGAGUCAUUGAUACUGAGUUUUUAUGACAGACUCUUGGUAAUGGUAACACGACCCUCAUCUGUUCUCCUCUUGACCGACCAUUGAUUAUCAACAACUACUCUGCUGAGGACCGCCAGGAAAAGCUUUCAAGGUACAGGAAUAAGAAGACGAAGAGGAACUUCGGCAGGAAAAUUAAGUAUGCUUGCAGGAAGGCUCUUGCAGACAGUCAGCCAAGGAUUCGAGGAAGGUUUGCGAAGACUGAAGAAUGGGAUGUUUCCAAGAGGCAAUAACUAUCAAUUAAUUCAGGAAAAGGAAAAAAGAAAAGUAGCUAUGCAGUAAUGGCAGAAAUGAGUAAUAGCAUAAGCCUGGCAAAUAGAUUUGGCAGAAAACUAGCGACUAUUGUUAAAAUAAACUAGACCCCCAACUCCUGCAACAUAGCUGAUAUCUUAUUUGCUGUAAUAACCUCUGCAGUAGAACAAAAUGGCCGAGUAAAGUUGUACAUAGGCUUGUGUUAAAUAAGAAGAGGAAUCUAGAAAAAGUUGUAUUUGUUCAUAUAUCUUUUGAAAUGGCAAUAUUGUAACCCCUCUAUAAUUCUAUUGGUGUUUCCACAACAAUUGUUAUGGCGUACAAACUAUUCUGAUCAUUAUUACUACAUGAUAUCGGAAUGGAAAUGUUCUAUUUCAUUA